rnacentral:rRNA from 1 species
AAUAGAUACCCGGGUAGUCCACGCUGUAAACGAUGAAUACUAGAUGUCGGGGGUCGAACCUCGGUGCCGCACGCUAACGCAAUAAGUAUUCCGCCUGGGGAGUACGAUCGCAAGAUUAAAACUCAAAGGAAUUGACGGGGGCCCGCGACAAGUAGCGGAGCAUGUGGUUUAAUUCGAAGCAACGCGAAGAACCUUACCUAGGUUUGACAUCCCAAGAAUCCGGUGGAAACAUUGGAGUGCCCUUCGGGGAACUUGGAGACAGGUGGUGCAUGGUUGUCGUCAGCUCGUGUCGUGAGAUGUUGGGUUAAGUCCCGCAACGAGCGCAACCCUUGUUGUUAGUUGCUACCAUUAAGUUGAGCACUCUAGCAAGACUGCCCGGGUAACCGGGAGGAAGGUGGGGAUGACGUCAAAUCAUCAUGCCCCUUAUAUCUAGGGCUACACACGUGCUACAAUGGCUGGUACAAUUAGAAGCAAUACCGCGAGGUGGAGCAAAACUUAAAACCCAGUCUCAGUUCGGAUUGUAGGCUGCAACUCGCCUACA